CAUGGAGGGUGAGAAUCCCGUCUGAUUCUGGUCGUGAGCUCGUCAUACGAUACGCUUUCAAAGAGUCGAGUUGUUUGGGAUUGCAGCUCCAAACGGGUGGUAAACAUCACCUAAGGCUAAAUAUUUGCGAGAGACCGAUAGCGAACAAGUACCGUGAGGGAAAGAUGAAAAGAACUUUGAAAAGAGAGUUAAAAAGUAUGUGAAAUUGUUGAAAGGGAAACGAUUGAAGUCAGUCGUGCAGUCAUCGAUUCAACGGUUCAAAUGCUAGCUUUUGCUUGUGUUUGUCCGUGCAUUUUGGUGUCUGCUGGUCAGCGUCAAUUUCGAUUGUCAUAAAAAGGUCAGAGGGAUGUGGCUCCUUCGGGAGUGUUAUAACCUUUGGCGGAAUGUGGCGAUCGGGAUUGAGGUUUGCACGAUUAUAGUUUCCUGGCCUCUCAUCGACGUCUGAAUUGCGGAAGCUUGCUGAAGCAGUUUAGACCGUUUGUGAAAAGGUUGGAGCGACUAGAUCGUUAAGGAUGUUGACGUAAUGG
rnacentral:rRNA from 1 species